AUCCGCCGCCAGCCGAGCCAGCCCGCCCGGCCGCCCGGAGCCACCGCCGGACCGCCCUGACGCCCGCUGCCUGCCUGCCUGCCCUCCCACCGCCCGGCGGCUGCUGCCCGCGCAGGCGCGUACCACUGCGCAGCAGUACGCGGAGCCUCCCUCCCUGUUAACCGAACUGCCGGAGCCGCCCAAUCCGCUCAGGUGUGGUGCCCGUCUCCUUCCUAUAGAGAUCUGAAUUUGUCCAGGCCCGGCAGCUCCUCUAGCCUUCGCCCUCCUUGGGAUUCACCAGAGUCUGGAAACUGGAGGCGUGCAGCAGCCCCGAUCUCAAUUUAUCCAGAGACUGAAGUCAGGCCGAAUAGAUUAUUUGGGGCCAAUGGAAGAGGAAGGCUAUAGCACCGAAUCAUCCAAUGAAGGAGACGUGCAAGAAGACGGUGACAAGGAGAAAAGCCUUGCUGAGGGCGAUGUCUUUAAGCCGGUUGAUAUGGAUCCAGAAUGGAUACCUAAAGUGGGGAUGGUAUUCGACUCAGAGGAAGACGCCUUUCAGUUCUAUGUCGCAUAUGGAUGCCACUCUGGUUUUGGUAUCACAAGGAGGUCUAACAACACCUUUGAUGGUUUCCGCUAUCGCUCUACCUUCAUAUGCUCUAAAGGAGGGCAAUCUAGGCUGAGAUCUGGUGUGACAAGGCCUGCAAGAAAGCGGGGCACAAAGACUGGCUGCAAGGCUAAGAUCAUUGUCAAGGACGCCCAUUUUCAGAAUCGCUGGGAAGUUAUUGUUCUCGAGUUGGAGCAUAACCAUCCACUGGAUCCUGGUUCGGUUAAAUAUAAGAAGCAUCUAGAGAACAUCCCUUUCUCUCUAAAUCCACCUCGUUUGUCUGAGGCGCCACAGAGUAGCUCAGUUGUUGGACAUUCUAGUAGUUUUGGAGAUAGUGGCAUACCUUCAUCUGCCCAGAUUGAAAUCAAGACCAAGAUAGACAGAAAUAGGAAACUGAAGCUUGCUGAAGGAGAUUUAGAGGCAUUAGUGAGUUUUUUCAACGACAUGCAAGACCGAAACCCGUGUUUCUUUCACAGUUUAGACAUGAAUGAGCAAGGACAGCUAAGGAAUGUCUUCUGGGCUGAUGCCAAAUCACGUAGUUCUUACAAUUACUUUGGUGAUGUGGUUGCUAUUAAUGUCACAAACUUCAGCGAUCAGUAUGAUAUACAGUUUGUGUCAUUUGUGGGCACUAACCACCACGCUCAACCACUGUUACUAGGGUGUGGUUUGCUUGCUGGUAGAUCUCUUGGAGCUUACGUGUGGCUUUUUGAUACAUGGUUAAGAUGCAUGAAUGCCACGUCACCACCUUCAAUAAUUACCAACUAUUGUCAUGAUGUUGCAAUAGCUGUUAAAAAGGUUUUCCCCAAUUCACGGCACCGCUUUUGCCUUCGGCACAUUUUAAAUGAGCUUCCUGAGAAGUUGGCCGGAAUGGAAAAGAAGGAUGAAGUGAUUUCUACUUUCAGCACAUUGGCCUAUGACUCAGUUACUACUCUUGAUUUUGACAAAGAGUGGCAAGAAAUGACGCAUCAAUUUCAGUUGGAGGGAAAUGAAUGGCUGUCCAAAUUAUACGAGGUCAGGGCACAGUGGGCUCCUGCUUAUGUGAAGGAUUUUUUUUGGGCGGGAAUGUCCGUCACAGACAGAACUGACAGUGCAACUGACUAUUUUGAUGGGUGGUUGACGUCUGAUACAUCUGUGAAAAUGUUUGUUGAGCAGUAUGAGGCAGCUGUUAGAACUAAGUUAGAAAAGGAAACCUAUGAGGAUUUGCACUCGUCUCAGAUGAGGCCACAGUUGAUGACUGGAUUGCCUGUGGAGGAGCAAGCAGCAAAGAUGUACACAAUGGAGAUAUUUCAAACUUUCUUGAAUGAAUUAGGGCGUUCAUUUCACUGCAAUUAUAGUAUACUUGAUCGGAGUGAUUCAGUAGUUACAUACAUAGUAUCAGAGCAUGUAAAUCAAACAAAGGUGGACUACAAAGUUGCUUAUGACAAUGCUGAAGAUGACAUAUGGUGCUUCUGCCGCUUGUUUCAAUUUAAAGGUAUAUUGUGCAGACAUGCUCUCACUGUACUGAGGCAGGAGCUUGUACCGAUGAUUCCAUCAAAAUACAUCAUUCAUCGCUGGUGCAAGGAUUGUAAACUAACUUGUUCUUCCAUGUCCCGGGACGUCUCAUUAAGUAGUCAGGAAUUGGGAGGUUAUGAUGAUCUCUACAAACUAGGCCACCAAUACUUUGCAGAAGUUGUGGAACUGGGUUCUGUGAACUCAGAAUCAAAAGAUUAUGCUUUGUCAGUCAUGAGGGAGAUCAGGGAUAAAGUGAUUUCUUAUGAGAAGUCACUGAGAGAUCAAAGGGUUGACAGCCAAGUUUCAACUGCCAACUUUGCAUAUAAUCCAGUGAAUGAGGAUUUUACUGAUGAUGCAUUACCCAUUUCUCUUAGUACGAAGGGCUGGGAUCUCAUGCAAGGUCAGUCAAAACGUUCUCGCAAGAAGAAACUGACGACACCAACAGUUCUUGAUACCCUGAAGAAGAAAACUAAAAGGGCCUAUAACAAGAGGAGGAAUGCCACUGCGAACAACCUAUGCACAACGGUCACCGCAACUGACAGCAUAACAGAAAGCGCAAAUGUUCAGGAAGAUCAAGUAAAUGAGGGAUGGCCAUUAACAUCUAGUGGUGCACCAGAUACCUUCCCAUACGGAGUGGAGACCAUAUCUUUCGAUUUGACACAAUACAACAAUGCGCCAAGCUUCCAUUGGCCUGAAAGCAGCAGCAGAUCUCAGCUUCAGUGAAAGGAGGCAACACUUAGUUAUGCGUUCAUUCGAGUAGCCUGUGUUCUAACAUGAUCACAUGACGGGCAGAGUAAGUAUUGAUAGUUCAGGUCCGACCUUGUUUGCUCUGCCACUAGGAAGUUGGUGGCCGCCCGAACAACGGUGAAAAAAUUCUCAAACAUGGCAGAAACCAGUAAAACUACCACCGACUUCUAACCAACUUGGUCUAAAUUGGUUUGGCUAAUAUGGGAUGCCCCUGAUUGUCACCUCCAUGUGAUGGCCCAGCUCCGUCAUCAUAAUUAUCGCCUGAUCGGUGUGGAACUGCCUAUGAAGCUUCGCAUCCACUAUACUCGCAGCAUCCCCGCUGGAAAUCCUCCUCCCAGCCACCAGUUCUAGGAGCACCACUCCGAAGCUAUAGACGUCGACCUUGGCAUUGAUUGGCAGAUUCAUCGCCCAUUCCGGGGCCAUAUAACCGGCUGUUCCUCGCAUAUGUGAGAAGUUGAAACUGGAUCCAUCUCUUUUAUACAGCUUUGCUAACCCAAAGUCUGCUAUCUUGGCUUCAAAAUC